AUAAAAUACAAGGUUAUUAUUUAAAUUGUCUAUGGAGUGAUCAUGUUUAUAAAUGUAAUACUGCAAGACUUUAAUGUGCGCGCGCGCGUCUUGCUUCCAACACUGGAGCGGAGAGGAUGUUGCUAUGGGAAACGAAGCUACAACACGACACGACGCCACCAGAAAGACACAACACGACUUCUCUCAAGCUGCCGUUUUGACUGUUUUCAGGAGUGAGAUAAUAACCCCCUGCUACAGAAAACAUAACACAAGAUUCCUAAAUUUCUGAAGGGAGCUGAUCACAGAGAUGCAGAAAAGACAGGAGGUCAAAGUUUAACCUAAGUGCCAUGUAGCUGAUGAACAUCUUUAUAUGUAGAUCAGCUCCUGACAGACAUGUUAACAGGCAAAACCGGAGCACCCAGAGAAAACCCACGCAAACGCAGGGAGAAUUUGCAAACUCCACACAGAAAUGCCAGCUGAUCCAAUCGAGGCUCGAGUCAGCAUCCUUGCUUAUUGGAUGCCUGAUUGCAGUUCAACUCCAAACUCAGUUGGACCAGCUGAUCAGUGUCUU